GUCUUCUUGUUAUAUUUAGGAAGUCUGGCCUGCCCAGUGAAAAUAAUUUAACGGCCGCGGUAUACUGACCGUGCAAAGGUAGCAUAAUCAUUAGUCUUUUAAUAGAGGGCUGGUAUGAAGGGUUUAACGAGGUGUUGACUGUCUCAUUUAAUUUGAACUUAGAACUUAAUUUUUUAGUUAAAAAGCUAAAAUUUUAUUGGAAGACGAGAAGACCCUAUAGAGCUUUAUAUUUUUAUUAUUAAUUUAUUAUAGAUUAUUAUUAUUUAUUAUUGGUAUAAAAUAUUUUGUUGGGGUGACAAAAAUAUAUAAAUAACUUUUUUAUUUCAUUUACAUUGCUAUAUGAAUAUUAGAUCCAAUCUUAUUGAUUGUUAGAUUAAGUUACCUUAGGGAUAACAGCGUAAUCCCUCUCCAGAGUUCAUAUUUACAGAGGGGCUUGCGACCUCGAUGUUGGAUUAAGAUAAUAAUUAGGUGUAGCCGCUUAAUUAAUAGGUCUGUUCGACCUUUAAAUUCUU
rnacentral:rRNA from 1 species